rnacentral:lncRNA from 1 species
CACUAACAUCUACUUGGACACACACACACACACGCACACGCACACAGAGAGAGAGAGAGAGAGAGAGAGAGACGUAGCAUGUGCACCCUGCUGAGAAACCGUCCCACAACGCAGAAGGGCUUCAGUCAGCAUUUACAGCUGUGCGGUUGGCAGCUCCCCCCUCCAUGAAGGCCCUUAUUGUUGGGGGACAUGGUUUACCACACUCCCGCUGCUUAGUAGAGCGGGUGGCGUGCACGCCAGGCUUCCUCUCAUGUUGGUUAUAAUAUAGGCUGAAGUGUGGCGGCACUGGGGUGUACUGUACUGUGUGGAGCUACCACUGGCCUCCUUUCCUCACGCUACCCCUAGCAUGGAGGAGCCGGACAUGCAUGAGAGGACCUGAGUGGUACCUCACUGUGUCCUCCCGGUGGGUUGUGUUUCACACUGAGGCUACCCAUGGUGUGUGUAUACCCAUCUGUCCAUGUUGUUUUAAAAAUCUGUUGUGUGGGUGUGUGCCUGAACACAGUGUCGGUAAGUGUUUGUGUGUGACUGUGAAUAGGAUAGAGUAUAUAUUAAUGAGUGAUACGUUGGCUAUUUGUGUGAAAAACUCAUCCUCUGCAACAGUCCAACUUGGAGAGACAUUUGAAAAUAUUGUUGUCAGUUCAGUUGCAUCUCUCUCUCUCCUUCCUUUUCUCUGCUCUCUCUUUCUGUCAUUUCUUCCUUUUCUCUGCUCUCUCGCUCUGUCACUUCUCUGCUCUCUCUCUGUCUGUCACUUCUCUGCUCUCUCACUUCUUCUCUGCUCUCUGUCACUUCUUCUCUGCUCUCUCUCUCUGUCACUUCUGCUCUCUCCCUCACUUCUCUGCUCUCUCUCUCAAUUCCUCUGCCUCUCUGUCACUUCUUCUUCUGCAUCUCUCUCCUCUCUCACUUCUCUGCUCUCUCCUCUCUCUCUCUCACUUCUCUGCUUCUCUCUCUCCCUGCUCUGCUCUCUCGCUCUCUUCUCCUGCUCUCUCUCCUCUUCUCUGCUCUCCCUCUCUCUUCUCUCUUCUCUCUCUCUCUUCUCUUCUCUGCUCUCCACUCUCGCUUUCUCUCACUUCUCUGCUCUCUCCUUCUCUUCCUCGCCUUCU